rnacentral:rRNA from 1 species
CGCUGGCGGCAUGCCUAACACAUGCAAGUCGAACGGAGUUCUUUUCGACAGGAACCCUUCGGGGGGACGAUGAGUUGAACUUAGUGGCGGACGGGCGAGUAACGCGUGAGCAACCUGCCUUUCAGUGGGGAACAACAGUUGGAAACGACUGCUAAUACCGCAUAACGUGCAGUCACCGCAUGAUGACGGCACCAAAGGAUUUAUUCGCUGAGAGAUGGGCUCGCGUCCGAUUAGAUAGUUGUGGGGUAACGGCCCACCAAGUCGACGAUCGGUAGCCGAACUGAGAGGUUGAUCGGCCGCAUUGGGACUGAGACACGGCCCAGACUCCUACGGGAGGCAGCAGUGGGGAUAUUGCACAAUGGGGAAACCCUGAUGCAGCAAUGCCGCGUGAGGGAAGACGGUCUUCGGAUUGUAAACCUAAGUAGUCAGGGACGAAGAAAGUGACGUUACCUGAAGAGUAAGCUCCGGCUAACUACGUGCC